GACGAACGCUGGCGGCGUGCCUAAUACAUGCAAGUAGAACGCACAGUUUAUACCGUAGCUUGCUACACCAUAGACUGUGAGUUGCGAACGGGUGAGUAACGCGUAGGUAACCUGCCUGGUAGCGGGGGAUAACUAUUGGAAACGAUAGCUAAUACCGCAUAAUAUUGAUUAUUGCAUGAUAAUUGAUUGAAAGAUGCUAUUGCAUCACUGCCAGAUGGACCUGCGUUGUAUUAGCUAGUAGGUGAGGUAACGGCUCACCUAGGCGACGAUACAUAGCCGACCUGAGAGGGUGAUCGGCCACACUGGGACUGAGACACGGCCCAGACUCCUACGGGAGGCAGCAGUAGGGAAUCUUCGGCAAUGGACGAAAGUCUGACCGAGCAACGCCGCGUGAGUGAAGAAGGUUUUCGGAUCGUAAAGCUCUGUUGUAAGAGAAGAACGGGUGUGAGAGUGGAAAGUUCACACUGUGACGGUAUCUUACCAGAAAGGGACGGCUAACUACGUG
rnacentral:rRNA from 1 species